rnacentral:lncRNA from 1 species
AAGCCCGCAUGCGAUCACCACCGUUGGAUUGCGCACAACCACGUGAUAACGUGCGUGGACCGUGCAUGGCCGCAUGGUGUAGUAGGCUGUGUAUGGACCAUGCAUCUAGGCCAUGCAUCCUGCAAAUGUCUGGGCUGCGCACUGCUACAGGCCUGCACGCACUGCAGGUCGCAUGUUAUGGGCCUGCGCACCCGUGGCCCAUGCCAACAGGCUUGCACGCCUGCAGAUCGGGCCACUCCAUCAUGAGCCUCGCAUUGCAUGUUAUGGGCUUCUCCAUAU